UGAGGAAUAUUGGUCAAUGGUCGCAAGACUGAACCAGCCAUGCCGCGUGCAGGAAGACGGUCCUAUGGAUUGUAAACUGCUUUUAUACAGGAAGAAACCCUCCCACGUGUGGGAGCUUGACGGUACUGUAGGAAUAAGGAUCGGCUAACUCCGUGCCAGCAGCCGCGGUAAUACGGAGGAUCCAAGCGUUAUCCGGAAUCAUUGGGUUUAAAGGGUCCGUAGGCGGUCUUAUAAGUCAGUGGUGAAAGCCCAUCGCUCAACGACGGAACUGCCAUUGAUACUGUAAGACUUGAAUGCUUAGGAAGUAACUAGAAUAUGUAGUGUAGCGGUGAAAUGCUUAGAUAUUACAUGGAAUACCAAUUGCGAAGGCAGGUUACUACUAAGUGAUUGACGCUGAUGGACGAAAGCGUGGGGAGCGAACAGGAUUAGAUACCCUGGUAGUCCACGCCGUAAACGAUGGAUACUAGCUGUUCGGCGCAAGUUGAGUGGCUAAGCGAAAGUGAUAAGUAUCCCACCUGGGGAGUACGCACGCAAGUGUGAAACUCAAAUGAAUUGACGGGGUCAUAGCUGUUU
rnacentral:rRNA from 1 species